rnacentral:misc_RNA from 1 species
AAGUAUACGUCUGUACGGUGCUAUUAGGUUUCCAUACUGAUGUUCCCUUCUCUUUCGAUUUUCUCUCUUCAAAACAGUGCAUCUUAGAAAUAGGUCCAAAUGAACCUAUUUUAGGUAGGUUCAAUCCUAAGGUUGUUUAAGCUCAUUUCCAACUCUUCUAAAGAUAUAUUGAGACCAGAAUGAACCCAUAAUCGUCUUAAGGAACUUUCAUCAGCAAUUAUCAUUGGACAUACACAUGCCACACAUAAGGGCUCAAAAUUAGGCGCAUACAAAAAGAGAAGCGAUUGGGGAGGAUCAGGGGCUGUAGUAUUAAAGUAUCAAUCAGGAUUUGGAUGAAUUUAUUUUAGAGCUUGCAGGGACAG